rnacentral:rRNA from 1 species
GACGAACGCUGGCGGCGUGCCUAAUACAUGCAAGUAGAACGCUGAAGAGAGGAGCUUGCUCUUCUUGGAUGAGUUGCGAACGGGUGAGUAACGCGUAGGUAACCUGCCUGGUAGCGGGGGAUAACUAUUGGAAACGAUAGCUAAUACCGCAUGAUAUUAAUUAUUGCAUGAUAAUUGAUUGAAAGAUGCAAUUGCAUCACUACCAGAUGGACCUGCGUUGUAUUAGCUAGUUGGUGAGGUAACGGCUCACCAAGGCGACGAUACAUAGCCGACCUGAGAGGGUGAUCGGCCACACUGGGACUGAGACACGGCCCAGACUCCUACGGGAGGCAGCAGUAGGGAAUCUUCGGCAAUGGGGGGAACCCUGACCGAGCAACGCCGCGUGAGUGAAGAAGGUUUUCGGAUCGUAAAGCUCUGUUGUAAGAGAAGAACGGGUGUGAGAGUGGAAAGUUCACACUGUGACGGUAUCUUACCAGAAAGGGACGGCUAACUACGUGCCAGCAGCCGCGGUAAUACGUAGGUCCCGAGCGUUGUCCGGAUUUAUUGGGCGUAAAGCGAGCGCAGGCGGUUAGAUAAGUCUGAAGUUAAAGGCUGUGGCUUAACCAUAGUAUGCUUUGGAAACUGUUUAACUUGAGUGCAGAAGGGGAGAGUGGAAUUCCAUGUGUAGCGGUGAAAUGCGUAGAUAUAUGGAGGAACACCGGUGGCGAAAGCGGCUCUCUGGUCUGUAACUGACGCUGAGGCUCGAAAGCGUGGGGAGCAAACAGG